UCCGUGUUGAAUCAUUAAAUUGGUUUAGUGGUUCCUCUCCUAUCAAUGCUAGGCAACUGCAGUGCAAGAUUGUUUCAACAAACUUGGUUGGUUCAUUAAUCCGUAUGAAGUAAUUCAUCUCAUGGAGUUCGAGACAAGGGAGGGCAAAGGCAAGAAAUCAUAGACAUGCAUACUACUAGCAAGAGGAUAUAUGAAGACAUUAUUGAAAGUAACAAAGUAUUGAACUUCUUAUCACAAAAAAUGGGAAGAAAAGUUUGUCAAGUAAGGUAGGCAAAGCAAAGAAAAGGAGAAGGUUUGUAAAAUGAUUCAAGAGGUGAAAUAUUCAAAUCAUUUAUAUCUAGGAGGAUAUGAUUCUUGUGAUCAUGAGCGUCGUGAUAGAAUGUAAAGAUUAGAUUACUUAAGGUGAGAUUUAAAAAUUUA